GGCCACCCCAAGACGCAUCGUUGGGCACGGCGUGAUCCUCUCUUCCUUCUCCUUCUAGCUAUCUUGUCUUGAGCUGUGGAGGAAGAAUUCAAGGUGAUUGGGGACGUGAACAGUAGCGUGAACAGUUCCAUCCGAGUUCUUGAGUUUGGCUUGUGUUGGCCGGUGGAGGAAGAUUUGAGGGUAUUUGGAGACGUGAACAGUAUUAUGAACAGUGCUGCGAGUUCUUGAUAUUUUUUUUGGGUAUAAAUUCGGCUAUUUCUGCUUGCUUUUGGUGGCUGCUGCAGAGAUGGAAUUGACGUACUGAGCCCUCGAGCGAGGAGGACACAGACAGGCAGCAGGGUUA
rnacentral:lncRNA from 1 species